rnacentral:rRNA from 1 species
CCUACGGGUGGCAGCAGUGAGGAAUAUUGGUCAAUGGCCGGAAGGCUGAACCAGCCAUGCCGCGUGAAGGUCAGUGCCUUUUGGGCGUUAAACUUCUUUUGUGCGGGAGCAAUAAUGGUCACGUGUGGCCAGACGAGAGUACCGUACGAAUAAGCAUCGGCUAACUCCGUGCCAGCAGCCGCGGUAAUACGGGGGAUGCAAGCGUUAUACGGAUUUUUUGGGUUUAAAGGGUGCGUAGGCUGGGAGGUAAGUCAGCGGUGGAAUGCUCCCGCUCAAGGGGGUGAAGUGCCAUUGAUACUGCCUAGCUGGAGUGCGGAUGCGGUGGGAGGAAUGUGUGGUGUAGCGGUGAAAUGCAUAGAUAUCACACAGAACACCGAUUGCGAAGGCAUCUCACGAAUCCGCGAUUGACGCUGAGGCACGAAAGCGUGGGUAUCAAACAGGAUUAGAUACCCUGGUAGUC